CAUGCUUCCUCAGCAAGGGUAGUGCACCAGGAAAUGUACUGCACAAACUUGUCCUCGAGUGCAUCAUCCUACUUGAGAAUGCAGGACUCCUGGUAGAUGCAGUGACCACUGAUGGGGCAUCGUGGAACAGGAACAUGUGGUCUCACUUUGGAAUCAACACCAGUGAAGUCAACUGUACCGAUCCAUGCAACUUUUCAAGGCAGCUGUGGUUCACAUCUGAUUUCCCACAUUUGAUAAAAUGCUUGAGGAACAGCCUUGUGAAGAAAAGAAAGUUGACAACACCAGACGGAAUAGUUGACAUAAAGCAUUGGAGUGCAGUGGUAGAAAUGGAUCGGCCCAGGGCACACAACCUGAAAGCAUGCCCUAAGCUGACGCCGGAUCAUGUAGAUCCACGCCCAUAUCAAAAGAUGAACGUGGCCAUGGCAUUCCAGUUGUUCAGCGACAGUGUUGCAAAGGGGAUGAAGCAUUAUCAGCCUCAUCACGACAACCUGACACUCUGCGAUGCAUCUAUUGCAUUCGUACAACGUGUCAACCAGCUGGUAGACGUCAUGAAUGCGAGGACUCCAAAAGAUGCACUCACUACAGACCCACAAA